GGUUGAGGAAAAGAGAAUAAACAAUGAUUCCGAAAGUAGUGGCGAGCGAAAUUGGAACAGCCCAAACCUUAACAUAACCAUACGGUUUAACGGCCAGAGUUAUGAAAGGGGUUGAGAAAUUAGAUAAUUUUUAUGUAUAGCGGUCGACUAACUGUUGUCUAUUCACUGUUAAGGAGUAUAUGCCUGGCCAAGCGGCAUUGAGCGCCUCCGAAAUAGUGAGUAGACAACAAUCCGACGGUUAUACAUAAAAACCAACAUCGUUAAAUGAGUGGAUAAUGAUAAAAUCCUUUAGAUCAUAGCAGAAGUGUUUGAAUGGCACACCAAAGAAGGUGAGAGUCCUGUACGCGAAAUGGUCUUAGGCAUUAUAUAUCUUUUUUCAAGUAGGACGGGGCACGAGAAACCCUGUUUGAAUCCGGCAGGACCACCUGCCAAGGCUAAAUAUAUUGAUUGAUCGAUAGCGAACUAGUACAGUGAUGGAAAGGUGAAAAGAACCCCGGGAGGGGAGUGAAAUAGAUCCUGAAAUUUAGUGCCUACAAGGAGUCGGAGCCGGCUUGUCCGGUGACGGCGUGCUUUUUGUAGAACGAUCCAGCGAGUUAAUUUUUACAGCGAGGUUAAGUCAAUUGACGGAGCCACAGUGAAAGCGAGCCUGAAUAGGGCGAAUAAGUUGUAAGGAUUAGACCCGAAACCGGGUGACCUAACCAUGAGCAGGUUGAAGCCACUGUAACAGGUGGUGGAGGACCGAACCAGGAUACGCAGCAAAGUGUUUGGAUGACUUGUGGUUAGCGGUGAAAUGCCAAUCGAACUCGGAGAUAGCUGGUUCUCCUCGAAAUAGCUUUAGGGCUAGCGUCGUGUUAGUAGCACAUGGGGGUAGAGCUCUGUAAAGGACUGGGGCGGGCAACUGUACCCACCCUUAACAAACUACGAAUACCAUGUGUGUAAUCACGGCAGUUAGAACAUCGGUGCUAAGAUCGGUGCUCAAAAGGGAAACAGCCCAGACCAUCAUCUAAGGUCCCUAAAUUAACGUUCAGUGGGAAACAAGGUGAGAUUUCUUAAACAGCUAGGAUGUUGGCUUAGAAGCAGCCAUUCAUUUAAAGAGUGCGUAACAGCUCACUAGUCAAGAGAUUUUGCGUGGAAAAUGUAACGGGGCUAAAGUGUUAAACCGAAGACAUGGACUUCAUAUUUUAUGGAGUGGUAGAGGAGCGUUGAUAUCGCAGUGAAGUCAGAUUGUAAAGUCUGGUGGAGCGUUAUCAAGUGAGAAUGCUGGAAUCAGUAACCUUAAGACAGGUGAGAAUCCUGUCGGUCGUAAGAGCAAGGUUUCCAGGGCUACAGUAAUUGCCCCUGGGUUAGUCGGUCCUAAGCCGAGGCGUAUCUGCGUAGGCGAUGGACAACAGGUUAAUAUUCCUGUACAGGUAGUAGUUGUUAACAGUUCACGGUGAGUGACCAGAGCGGAUCAAUGGUUUAUCCGUCCAAGGUUUCAAGGAAUUGAAACUGAGUGAAAGAUAUUCUUCGGAAUAUUGAUUCUGGGUACAACGCUGGCUAGAAAAGCUGGUUAACUUAUGCUGCUGCCUACCGUACCGCAAACCAACACCGGUGCUCGGGUCGAGUAGACCAAGACCUACGUGAGAACCUUCGCUAAGGAACUCGGCAAAAAAGCGUCCGUAACUUCGGAAUAAGGACUGCCCUCUCAUUAAGAUGAGGAUUUGCUAGAAACUUGGUGGAAACAUAAGGUUAAUAGUAUUUACCUAAUAAUUUAACCAAAUUUUUCGUCAAGACAGAACACAUCAGGAAAUAUCCUGUGAUAUCUUUUCUAGUAACUCAAUCGUCAUUUUGAUGAGAGGGUCGCAGCUAAAGAGCCCACGGAACUGUUUAACAAAAACAUAGGUCUCUGCUAACGCGAAAGCGGAUGUAUAGGGGCUGACUCCUGCCCGGUGUCGGAAGGUUAAGGGGAGAGCUUUACGGUUCGAACUGAAGCCCCGAUGAACGGCGGCGAUAACUAUGAUCGUCCUAAGGUAGCGAAAUUCCUUGUCUGGUAAGUUCAGACCCGCACGAAUGGAGUAAUCAUGUGGGCACUGUCUCGGCGAAGGCCACGGUGAACGUGCAUUGGCGGUAAAGAUGCCGUCUGAUCAUGCCAGGACGAGAAGACCCCAUGGAGCUUUACUACAACUUUGCAUUGAUUAUUGGGACAUUUUGUGUAGAAUAGGUGGAAGACUUUGAAGCAGAUACGCUAGUAUUUGUGGAGUCGAAAUGUGAAAUACCACCCUGAAUGUUUUAGUAAUCUCACUUUUGACCUGAUCGGCCAAAAGGACCGUGCAUGGCGGGUAGUUUAACUGGGGCGGUUGCCUCCUAAAGAGUAGCGGAGGCGUUCA
rnacentral:rRNA from 1 species